UUUUGAACACGAAGAAUUGGGCAUCGCUGUCAUUCAUACAUACAUAUGGUAUAUGUAUGACACAUUGAUGCGGGGAACUGAAUUGUGUAACCGAUUCAAUUUUAUUGCUGCUUCCCGUAUCAACACAACGUUUAUAACGAAAAAUCCAACAUCCGUAAUGAAUGAACUAGUCGAUAGAUUCAUGGUGGCCGAUAAUACUACACCCAGUUUGUAUUUUUUACCGUUUAAUUCUGGCAACGGUGGUCACUGGGUGUUGGUUGCUAUGGAUCUUUCGAG